UCAGGUCAGUGUCAUUAAGAAAUGGAUGCUCUUCUGGUGAUGUUAAGUGGGCAAGUCUCUGACUUCAAGAUGAUUGCCAAGUUUAUUGCUUCCCUCCCUUUUUAUUGUCCCUGGAGUGGUGACCCUUGGGGCUUUGCUUUGUUGUGGAAAGGGGCAGCUUGUCUGCUCAGGCCUGCCUUCCCUUUGGGAGAGUGAAUCCUUCAGUGGUGGCUCCUUUUUAGGGUUUUCACUUCAGCCUCCUCUCCAGUGCUGCCACUAAUCUAACAAAGUACGUGUGGCGGUGUAGCGACUGGUGGGGAAUUGGAUGACACAUGUCUCGCUAUGUCCUGGCCGCUCUCAGAGGACACCACGCGAGUGUGCCAGCAAGUGGACAACACUUCCCCUGAGACAGCCUGCCGGAUCAAAAUAAACUUGAGUUAUGGAUUUAUUCAGCUUCUAAUACCUCAGCUGGCAUAAAUAAUUGAGAAAGCAAAGGUUUGUCUGUGGUGCAUACCUCAGGGACCCACUCCUGUCUUCCUCCCUCCCACCACCCUUUCUUAUGAAAAUGAUCCCAGUUGCACUGAUAGAUAAUAACAACACCAAGCAAUUAAAAGCUAUGGGUGGCUGGAGAGAGGAGAAAAGGUUCAGUUAAUGAGCUUUUCCUCUUCCUGUGCCCAGGAGAGCCUCAGAAGUGAGGAGGUGAUUAAAGCAAAGAGAUAAUUAUAGAUUAUGUGAAAUGGGUCCCUUGGGGGCCAAGGGCCUUGACAAAAACAGUAAGUGUUUCGAGUGUCUCUCUGCUCCCCACAUGCUGUGUUCCGCUCCGCCGCACUCCCACUUGCUCAGCAGCACCUUGCCAAGCAGAUGGGAGAAGCCACCUGUUAGCAGCACCCGGGGCCACUCCAGAGCGGGUCCACUGGGACGUGGCUUGGACCAGCCCCAGGAAAAGGGGAGAGGAUGCCCAAAGUAGCACCCAAUCACAGCCCUCUGUGCUGGAGGUAACCUGCAAGGGGGGAGGAAGGGCAUGGGGCAAACCUGGAGGAUGCUGUCUGUGUGAGCGUAGAAUACCUGAAUACCAGGUCUCUUCUGUGCUGUUUUUCCUGGUAGUCUUGGUGGCUGUUUAGAAAGUAAGGAGGUUUACAGCACUCAAGGCUUAAGCUUUGCAAGCUUGGAAGAAGAUGACUUUGUUUAAAUUCUUCCACAUACUUUUAUUCAAGGACGAAGAAAGUUGCCCAUGUAUUACCUGCAGGCAACAGAUAUGUUUCAGCUCAGUGUCAAAUCAGAGCUAGCAUUUCUUACUGGGGAUGAGGGAAAGCAGAAGAAAAUAGCCUGGAGGGGGGUUGAACAUGAGUCAGCAGGGAGGAGAGAAACCCUUCUGGCCAUCUUCAGGAAAUAGAUGUAAACGCUGUUUCUACCAGUUUCUGGGCCUUGAUGCUGACGAUAUCUGGAAUUCAGCUUCACAUGACUGGUUCUUUUUGCAGAUAAAAUGUCUGUGGUUUGACUGCAUGGACUUCUCAGACCUAUUCAGGAAAGGGCUUGUUUCUCUUUCUAAUAUU